GGCUUACACAAAAUCUAUUCAAAGAAUACAAGGAAUUUUUAAUUGAAGUCUCUGAGGCGCCACAUUGCAUGUUGUCUUUUCUCAUUUCAAUAACUGUAAAAAAUAUAUAUCGGAAGAGCCACGUC